AACCUAGCACACCUGCGGUGUGUACCUGCGGAAGGAUCAUUACAACAAGGUUCCCUGGCCCUCGAAGCUUCGGCGGAGGGGCGCUACAGCCUGACUUUAUACCCACCCUUUGCCUAUGUGUACCCCUAUUGCUUCCCUCGGCGGGCUCGCCCGCCGACAGGAACCAACUAAACCCUUUGCAUUAUACAUUUAACACUUCCGAUACAAAACCAAAUUAUUACAACUUUCAGCAAUGGAUCU
rnacentral:misc_RNA from 1 species